AUUGAACGCUGGCGGCAGGCUUAACACAUGCAAGUCGAGCGGGGAAAGGUAGCUUGCUACCUGACCUAGCGGCGGACGGGUGAGUAAUGCUUAGGAAUCUGCCUAUUAGUGGGGGACAACAUUCCGAAAGGAAUGCUAAUACCGCAUACGCCCUACGGGGGGAAGCAGGGGAUCUUCGGACCUUGCGCUAAUAGAUGAGCCUAAGUCAGAUUAGCUAGUUGGUGGGGUAAAGGCCUACCAAGGCGACGAUCUGUAGCGGGUCUGAGAGGAUGAUCCGCCACACUGGGACUGAGACACGGCCCAGACUCCUACGGGAGGCAGCAGUGGGGAAUAUUGGACAAUGGGCGAAAGCCUGAUCCAGCCAUGCCGCGUGUGUGAAGAAGGCCUUUUGGUUGUAAAGCACUUUAAGCGAGGAGGAGGCUACUUGGAUUAAUACUCUAGGAUAGUGGACGUUACUCGCAGAAUAAGCACCGGCUAACUCUGUGCCAGCAGCCGCAGUAAAAC
rnacentral:rRNA from 1 species